rnacentral:rRNA from 1 species
GACGAACGCUGGCGGCGUGCCUAAUACAUGCAAGUCGAACGCUUCUUUCCUCCCGAGUGCUUGCACUCAAUUGGAAAGAGGAGUGGCGGACGGGUGAGUAACACGUGGGUAACCUACCCAUCAGAGGGGGAUAACACUUGGAAACAGGUGCUAAUACCGCAUAACAGUUUAUGCCGCAUGGCAUAAGAGUGAAAGGCGCUUUCGGGUGUCGCUGAUGGAUGGACCCGCGGUGCAUUAGCUAGUUGGUGAGGUAACGGCUCACCAAGGCCACGAUGCAUAGCCGACCUGAGAGGGUGAUCGGCCACACUGGAACUAAGACACGGCCCAGACUCCUACGGGAGGCAGCAGUAGGGAAUCUUCGGCAAUGGACGAAAGUCUGACCGAGCAACGCCGCGUGAGUGAAGAAGGUUUUCGGAUCGUAAAACUCUGUUGUUAGAGAAGAACAAGGACGUUAGUAACUGAACGUCCCCUGACGGUAUCUAACCAGAAAGCCACGGCUAACUACGUG